rnacentral:rRNA from 1 species
AUUGAACGCUGGCGGCAGGCUUAACACAUGCAAGUCGAGCGAGCGGCGGACGGGUGAGUAAUGUCUGGGAAACUGCCUGAUGGAGGGGGAUAACUACUGGAAACGGUAGCUAAUUACGCCUACCAUCAAAUUUGGCCAGAUGGGAUUAGCUAGUAGGUGGGGUAAUGGCUCACCUGGGCGACGAUCCCUAGCUGGUUCGAGAGGAUGACCAGCAACAUGGGAAUGGAGACACGGUCCAGACGCCUACGGGAGGCAGCAGUGGGGAAUAUUGGACAAUGGGGGAAAGCCGGAUGCAGCCAGGCCGCGUGGGUGAAGCAGGCCUUCGGGUUGUAAAGCAUGUUCAUCGAGGAGGCGGUACUCGCAGAAGAAGCAACGGCUAACUCCGUGCCAGCAGCCGCGGUAAUUC